CUUUGAUGACAUGGUAAAUAAUUCUUAAAACAAAUAAGAAAUAGAUCUAGAAAAUUAAAAAAGAAAAAAAGUCAGUGUCUCACCUCUCUCUCUACGAGAGUGAAUCCUGCUUUCUCCAUCCCUCUCUCCGCCAUUUCCUCUGAGGCCUCCAUCUCUCCCUCAACCGCGACAGCUUAAUUAGCUCUCUCCCAAACAAUUUCCUCUGAGGCCUCCAUCUCUCCCUCAACCGCGACAGCUUAAUUAGCUCUCUCCCCAACAAAUACGAUCAAAAGCAACUGCGAUCUCCUUCUGCGAUUCAACAGUUGGCGUUUUGUCAAAGUUUCCGUCGCCGAAUCUCUCCGUUGAAGAUAAGGUCAACAUCAUGAACGAAAACAAACGAAAAAGGGAUGGUGGUGUUGGUCCACAGAUAAAGACUCAAAUGCCCCGUACCAAUAAGUUGGUAGAUAUUAACCGAAAAUUAUCUGAUGCGCAAAGGAGUAGAAUUAUGAAAACUCCAUUCCGAUAUCUGGUGGAAAUGAAGACCUAUAUAGGAAUGAAUGGUACUUUAUUGAAGGAAUUAUUGCAUAGGUGGGAUGCAAGUAGCUUAGGAUUUAGAGUAGGCGUUAGGAUUGUGGCCUUUAAACAUCUAGACCUUUAUUAGUUGUUGAUUAAUUAAUAAUAUGUAAAUAUUGAUAUAUAUCGAAAUAAAAGCAUUUACUUAUCUACAGGAGGAUAUCCUUCGGAUUCGUAGUGACAUUGUUUGUCGUUUGGUGCUUCAUGAAGAAAAUAAGCAGAGAAGUUUUGUAUUGGAUAAUGCUAUGUUACCCGCGGACUUAUUGAUCGGUUAAACAUACAUUUUCUAACUUAAUUGUGGUUGAUUGAUAUUGAUGUACAUUUGACGAAGACAUACUUUUUUUGG